rnacentral:ncRNA from 30 species
GCGACCCAUACUUGGUUUCAG